GAAAAACUCACUACCCAGCCCACAGGCAGAGAAGGGAGUGGAGGCGGCCAGCGGUGUGUCUCAGAAGAGCUGUAAAUACUGUGCUGACACAGGGUUGCAUGUAACCACAAUUGGAGAAAUGCUUUCUACUAAGCCAAAGGUAAAUUGGCACUGCCAAUUGCUACUUCACAGAAAGUAAAAAUGAUGUUGAGAGGAAAGCAAGGAAGUAUGGGAUCUUGUGCUGCUGUUGUUACCUGGCUGCUCCAAAGAACCAUAAGAUUAUAACCAACUCAUCUUGGUUUGCCUGGGAUUUUCCUGGUUUAUCACUGAAAUUCCUGUAUCCUGGAAGACCCUUGAGCCCCAAGCAAACUAGGACAGUUGGUCACCUACUGAAGAAACUUCCUUAAAAAAGAGUUUGCACAGUUGUAGCUACCAGAAGAAAGCUCAGCAAAGAUUCAAAGUCCUUCUAAAAUGAUCCAGAUUGAGAAUACCAGCUGCUGGGGAAUCAUUAUUAGGCAUUACAUCAAGAGGAGGCAUCAAAAAUCCAACAGGAGAAGCUACCUUUGCUAACAAUAGCGAAGAGGCAGAAUUCAGAAUUCUUACUGAUUGGAGUCAUCACAAGAUUAUAUUAUAUUACAUUAUUAUAUUAGAUUAGAUGGUUUCUCCUGCUAGAAGCAACUUUUAUUUUUUUUAACUUUAGCAGUCUUUUAUUUCCAAAAUGAGUAAAUCAAUGGACAAAAAAGAAAUAGGAAGAAAAUGAAUUUGGCAUAACUCAUUACUAGAAAAGCAAUGUUCAUUUUGAAUAAUGGGAAACUGAAUUUGUGUGAAUUUGUGUGACAUCAUCCAAAGCCUCCAAUUUCACCAAUGUCAUUCCUUUGCAUCUGAGUCACACAGUUGGUAGUUUUUCACUUUAACUCUUCCAAAAUAAAAGUAAAUAAAAAUAUUCUAUUAGGAAACCUGAUAAAUUUUGAAACCCAAAAGCUCAAGCCAGUUCUAUAGACCUUGAAUUUUUCAACCUAGCACUAAAAUUGUCAGUAAUGGAUUGGAUAGAAUACAGGCUUACACAGAAACAAACAUGGUUGACUUUUUCCAGACACAGAAAAUAAGGUUACCAAUGUUAUAAAAUCUCUAAGUUGUAUCUACUUGGAGAUACUGUGCUUGAUAUCAGUGGUCCCGAUUUCAUUAGGAGAAAUCUGAUCAUCUUUCUGGAAUUGAAAACUGGAAAUGGCCCAGCUGGAUUUCCUUUUAGAAGACACAAGGUUUCUUGAAAUGAGCUAUCCAAAAGUAAGAUAUUCCUUUCUUGCACCAGUAAAGACUGAAUGAGCCUGAACAGGUGUUGCAUAAAUGACCACUUGAUCACCCAAAUGCAUGAGCCUCUCUUCUUUCUGGAUACAAGGUCAAGCCAAAUCAUGUUUUCUUGCCUCCCUUUUACUUAUGUGUGGCCAUGUACUAAAUUCUAGCCAAAAGAAAGGAAGCAGAAAUGAUAUGUGCUACUACCAAGAUUGGACUAUGAAAACCUACUACACAUUCUCCUCAAUGUAUGCUUCACUUCAAGUCUACCAAGAUGGUGGCUUACAGGGUAUCGAAAUCUGCUGAAGAUGAGAGAACCUGCAUUCACCUGGGAGCCCGAAUGACUGUUAAGAAGGUCGCCUGUCCAGUUGAUCACUUGACUGGUUUAUGUGGGGAAAAAUAUAUUCAGCAAGAGCUGAUAUGGUUUCAGGAGUAUUGCUAGAGAAGUUAGCCUACUUUCACCAAUUUGAACAAAAGCCGAAGAUAGGCUGCAUUAUGAAGGCACUGUUUCUAGGGCUUGCUGUAAAAGAUGAUAUCCAGGUAAUGAGCAUUCGUGAGGGCAGGUGAUGCCUUUUGCUAUGUGCCAUGUCAAUGCACAAGACAGACAUACUUUCUCUAAGGCAGUCUAUUUCCAGCAGAGAGUUUUCUUAAGUGUGAAAAGAUAUUGCAGUAGACAAGCAAGAUUUCUUUUUAUUUCUGCUAAAGGUAAUAAACAUUAAGGUCUCAUUUUAAAAAAUAUAAAUAAAUUGAAUUAUAGGUGAAAAGGAAUGCAUCAUGCUGCUACUUAACAUUUCUUUGAUUUCCCCAAAUGGAAAUUAUGAUUAAGCCUAAGUUUUAAGUUAUAAGUCAUUUGAGACGCUUCUGAAUGUUGUCUCCAAAUUUGUCUCCAUAUUUGAAGAACUAUGUAUUUCUCCAAGGACUCAUAAAGUGGAGAGCGGUCAAAUGUGCCAACAGCCUAAGAAAAGGAAAACUUUUAAGUGAAGGAAAUGUUGCUAAUAAGUGGAAAGGUUACGUUUUAUUGAGUAUACACAUUUAUGGUCAUAGUUUUAAGUUUCGCUUCAAGCAGCAUUGCCAAGAUUAAAGUUAUAAUUAAAUCCCCAUUUUAUAAAGAUGUCAGUUAGUUUUUUCAGUGAUUUUAUGAUUUAAUUAAGGACUAGGACAACUUAUUGCAAGCAUGAGUAGUUUUAAUAGUAAAAUAUAGUUUAGAUUACUAACUUGAUGUUCCAGAGGGACUGCUUCCUUGUGAAAGGGUAAUUCACUGUAAGACUUCCUUAUGUUCAAACCUGUUCUCUCUUCAUGCAGUGUAUUUUAUGACUCAGUUUUGUGGUUUCCACAUACAACUAUCCUAAUAGCAGCUGCUUCCCAACCUCCCCCCACCACACACACACACACACACACACACACACACACACACGUUUUUGUCUUACAGAUUUAGUUCUUUACUUGUGGUGAAACUAUUAGAAUAGAGGCAAAAUGCUACAUGAAUCUACAAAGAUAUACGUCUUCUAAUGAAAAUAGUAAUUACUUUUUCAUAAUUUCACAAAAUGAAUAAGCCUAAACAAACAAGACACAUGCAAUGACCAGAGGAAAAAAGAGGCAAUUCCUAAAACACAUGUACAAAGCUUCGUUUACACUGAGCUCCGGCCUUUUUUUGCCUCUUAAGGAAAUUUGUUUCAGUGGAGGAGUUGUGAGAGUACUUGUCACAUACAGGUAUCAGCUUUUUCCUACCACAAAGGAAAGAAAAAGAAAAGAAGCUGAUGAACCUGAUUAAUAAUAAUUUAGGGUGGCAGACGUAGAAGGGAGUCAGAGAUUCAUCCAGUGCAUUUUUAUAAUCUAAUAUUGGACAAAACUAAAUACACGUACAGGAUCACAAGAUGCCUUAACGGAGUCUAUAUUGGACAUACAAAGACUUGAUGAUUAAAGCUCUUAAAAACAGACAUCUGGUAAAUCUAUGACUGCAACCCUUAAGGGCUUAAAGGCGAAGAUAUUACUUAACUCUAAUGGAAAGGCCAUGUAAGAUAUUGGCUGGGCAUACUGCUACCUUCUGGGAAGCUCUCUGUAAAGGUGAGUUUAACUGUGAGAUGGGGACAGUACAUCUCAGGUGAGUAACUGUGAGGUGGGGAUCUAAUUCAUAGGGAGAAAUUUAAGUGUAAGUCAAUGAUUUAAAUCACUUAAAAUUUUGCCUACCCACCCUCCCCGACCCAGGGAACAUUGAGCAAUGUCUGGAGACAUGUUUGGUUGUGACAACUUGGGGACAUUUCUGCCAUCAAGUGCCAGAAGUAAGGAUCUUGCUAAACAUCCUGCAAUGCACAGGACAGCCCCCUACAAAAAAGAGUUAUUUGGCCCCAAAUGCCAACGGUAGCACCGUUGAGCAGGUCCUGAAUGAGGAGAAGCCAUGAGUCAGCCAAAGCCAUGGACACAACAAAAGAGAGUAGGGACAUUUAGCCUGUAGAGCACUAACAGUAAAAGCCAAAACAGACAGAAGCUUAGCUGACUGUCCACAGUGGCAGAGGUCUUGUAUGGAACAACGGAAGCCUACUUUUUAGAAGAAAAUGGGUCGUCCAAAGGGAAUCAAGUCUCUAGAACUAUCCUGAACCGUGACUCAUAUUGAAGUUCUCCCCAAAACCUGCUGAGACAUGUUCCUUUUCCUUACUGACGAACCUGUAAAAUAAACUCCUCUUACCUGUUAUACAGUAAGUAUGCCUCUUUUAUAUUUUUGUAUGCUGAAAUAUCCUAAAAGAACCUCCAAGUUUAAUUAUUUAUGUAUUAUAGUCUUAUGCUCUUUAGUAUUGAAUAUACAUUUAAAUACUAAUAAAAUAUUUUACCCAAAUCAUUUAUUCAUUUCUCAGAAUAUAUUCAAGUUGGUUCCCAUAUAUAUUGUUUUCCUGUACAUGGUAAAAUUAAACUUAUAGUACUGGCAUUGAUCCUUAAACAGGAUAUUCAAGAGCUGUUGAGUUAAAAUAAUUAAGAUUAUUUAAUAUGAAGAUGGACA
rnacentral:lncRNA from 1 species